UGAAUGAGACUGGGAAAGGACCGCA
rnacentral:piRNA from 1 species